rnacentral:rRNA from 1 species
CACCUAUUAGCUAGCCCACCCAACCAAAAACAACAAAUCACCAUAAAUAACCCCAAAUACACAACCCCCAUCCAACCAAACCAUUUCUCCCCCCUAGUAUAGGCGAUAGAAAAGGAACCACGGCGCAAUAGAAAAAGUACCGCAAGGGAAAGCUGAAAGAGAGAUGAAACAGCCCAGUAAAGUCUAAAAAAGCAGAGAUUACCUCUUGUACCUUUUGCAUCAUGAUUUAGCCAGAAACCCCAAGCAAAGAGCACUUUAGUUUGACUCCCCGAAACUAGCGUGAGCUACUCCAAGACAGCCUAUCUAUAGGGCAAACCCGUCUCUGUGGCAAAAGAGUGGGAAGAGCUUUGAGUAGAGGUGACAGACCUACCGAACCUAGCAAUAGCUGGUUGCCUGAAAACUGGAUAUAAGUUCAGCCUCCCGGCUUCUCCAUUCACCCCACCCCAACAGAUACUAAAGAACACCGCGAGAGUUAGUCAAAGGGGGUACAGCCCCUUUGAACCAAGACACAACUUUACCAGGUGGGUAAAGAUCAAAAUAUACCAAGGAAAUAUGUUCUGGUGGGCCUAAGAGCAGCCAUCCAAAUAGAAAGCGUUCAAGCUCAGACAUCCUCUUCCCCAAAAAUCCCGAUAACCCAAUCUUAUCCCCCUAAACUUAUCAGGCCGCCCCAUGCAACCAUGGGGGUGUCCAUGCUAAUAUGAGUAAUAAGAGAGUCACACCCUCUCUCCCCGCAUAAGUGUAAAUCGAAACGGACCCCCCAUCGAUAUUUAAACGGCCCCACACCAAGAGGGCAUUAGGAGGCAAACCAAGUGAACAAGAAAAUCGCCUAAUAAUAUAACCGUUAACCCCACACUGGUAUGCACCUCGGGAAAGACAAAAGGAAAAAGAAGGAACUCGGCAAAUACACAACAAGCCUCGCCUGUUUACCAAAAACAUCGCCUCUUGCUAACCAAAAAUAAGAGGUCCAACCUGCCCAGUGACCAUGUGUUUAACGGCCGCAGUAUUUUGACUGUGCGAAGGUAGCGUAAUCACUUGUCUUUUAAAUGGAGACCUGUAUGAACGGUAAAACGAGGGCUUAACUGUCUCCUUUUUCUAGUCAAUGAAAUUGAUCCCCCCGUGCAGAAGCGGGGAUACAAACAUAAGACGAGAAGACCCUGUGGAGCUUUAGACGCCAGAGCAGACCAUGUUAAACACCCCAAACUAAAGGAAUAAACUGAUUGGAUGCUGCUCCCAUGUCUUCGGUUGGGGCGACCGUGAGGAAAUUAAAAAACCCUCCACGUGGAAUGGGAGCAACAAUCCCUCGAAGAUCUUUCUCUUCUUUGUCUCCCACAACUAAGAGCCACAGUUCUAAGCAACAGAAUAUCUGACCAAUAGAGAUCCGGCAAAGCCGAUUAACGAACCAAGUUACCCCAGGGAUAACAGCGCAAUCCCCUUCUAGAGCCCAUAUCGACAAGGGGGUUUACGACCUCGAUGUUGGAUCAGGACAUCCUAAUGGCGCAGCCGCUAUUGAGGGUUCGUUUGUUCAACGAUUAAAGUCCUACGUGAUCUGAGUUCAGACCGGAGUAAUCCAGGUCGGUUUCUAUCUAUGAAAUGAUCUUUUCUAGUACGAAAGGACCGAAAAGAAGAGGCCCAUGCUUAAAGUACGCCCCACCUCUACCUAAUGAAAACAUAUCAACUAGGUAAAAGGCAUAUCCCUCCGCCCAAGAAAACGGCAC